rnacentral:tRNA from 1 species
AUGCCGACAGCGUGGUCGGCCCGGCGUCGUCGGUGGCGACGACGUCGUUGAGCCGGAUGAGGAUUUCGUUCAGGUCGUGGCCGGUGUC